rnacentral:lncRNA from 1 species
AUGCCCGGCUUGGGGAUAGGGGAGCACAGAGAGCUGAGCCAGAGCAGGGAGCCCAGUGCAGGGAUYGGCCCGUCUUCCCCCUCUCGCAGCCCCACGCGUCGGCCGGUUUGCGUUACGCUCCUGGUUCCCUGCAUGCAGCCCCAGCGUGCCUCAGUUUCCCCACCUGCAGAUGGGACCACGUCCGCCCUGCGCAGCAGUGCUUGGAGCUGCGAGGGCAGGGAGCUCCACGUGGCUGACGUGCCCUGCGCGGGCAGGCGGAGGGACAGCGCGGAGRGCUGGUUUGUACCUACCCAGGUGUGCAGAGCCAGCGACCUCCGGGGCGAGACCACCACUGAGGGGCUUCUGGGCCCGCGGCUCACUGACAACCCAAUUCCCCAGCACCCAGGUCCCUCCUGCUCCCCUGAGCCAGCCCCAGAUCUGGCUCGCAGGGGAAAGAGGACGUCGGUCCCCCGUCUUGGCCAAAGCUAUGGCUCACCAGCCAUGCGCAGGGGUUUUCCGCACCACCUGGCCUUGAUGCCUCUGGGUGCGGGGAGAUCCCUCCCGCAGCCGGGGGGUGGGAUGGUGGGACGGGACCCCCUGCGCCGCACCGCGUCGGGUGCCCACGACACCAGGGCACCUCGGCUCUGGCCGGCGCGGGGAGGCGGCRGGGCCGGGCGAGCUGCGCUCCGGCRGGGCRCUCGCCUUCCUCGCCCCGGCCUUGCCGCRAGGGGGAAGAUUUACAGGCUGUCAGAGCGAGGGCGAAAGGUCAGCAGGGGUCAGAAAGUCCAUUUCGGAGAGGUCACUGUCCACUUCUUUCAAUCUAAUGAAGCCAUUAUUUGUGAAAGCGGCCGCUUUGCUGGCUAUUCCCUUGAAGCAGAGCAGAGCACAGCGCCGGGCUCUGAAAGAACAGGAAGGGCUCCCCUUCCCUUUCGCAUCCGCCAUUCAACAGGCCCCAAAAACAAACACACCACACACAGGAAUAUGACGCGGGGCUGGGCUGGCUCCGCUGCGGGCUGUGUCGCAGCGGCUUGGCGUUGCGAGGUUUCGGCGUAA